CAUAUAUAUGUAUAUACAUUAAUUUUUUUUUAUUUUUUUUACUAUAUAUUUUGAUAGUAAUGAUACGAAUGUAAAAGUGGGCAUAUUUUGAUAAUUAAAAUGAAAUAUGUGUAAAUUAUAAUAAAUUCCAUUAAAUGGGCAUUAUGGGAAUUAUAUAUUAUAAGAUGCAUACAUAUAUAUAUCUAUAAACUUAUUAUGGUUUUAAAAGUAAAAGGAUUAUAUGUAUAAGGAUAAGAAAUGUUAAAUAAAUUAAAAAGUAUAAAAUUGUAUUUUUAUAGAUAGAUUUAUAAUCUAAGAAUAAUAUGUGAACGAAUUAGAUAAUAUAAUAGGGUUGAUUGAAAGAACCUAGAAAAAAUAAGAAAACACAGAUUUAAUAUUAUAGAUGAUAGAGUUAUAUUGAUUUUACUAGAAGAAAUAAAGAUUUUAUUGAAGUAAAUUAAAAUAAAAAAGAAUGAAUUGUAUUAAGUUAAAAACAAUUGUAUCUAACAAUAAAAACAUAGCUCUAAAGAAAAAUUACUUUAAGAGUCUUUAAAUCUUAAAUAUAAAUUACACCUUAUAACAUUUGAUGAAGAUCAAAAAAACAAUAUGAUGUAUUUAAAAUAUAUUAUUAUCUUGAAGAAGAUUUCAGAAAAAACAAAAAUAACCUUUUAAGUUAGCACUCAGAAGCUUAAAAGAAAAGAAUAAGAUAAUAUUAUAAUAUUAUAAUACCUUAAAAUAACUAUAAAAAUGAGAUUUCUUUAUUUUUUUAUAUCAAGACGUAAAAUUGCUUGUACAAGAAAUAAACUGGAAUAAUAAAAAUAAAAUAAAUAACUUUAGAACGUCAAAUACUAGAGUUACUUUUUAUUUGUCUCAAUAUAUAUGAAUUUUUUAUGAACUUACCUGGUAAAUAUAAAUUUAAAAUUGAAGAUUACGAAGAAGAGGAAGAUGAAGAUGAAGAUGAAGAUGAAGAACAUUUAAAAAGAAGGUUACCAUUAAGUAUUGUUAAUAUAUAUAUAUAUAUAAUAUGAUGUAUGAAGAAAGGAAAUGGUAUUACAACAUAAAUAAAACUUAGAAGACAAAAAUGAAUAAAAAGGUGUAGAACAAAGAGAAGUUUUAAACAUCUUGAGUAUAUCAAAAGAUAUAAGAUAAUUGAAACAGAAAUGUAUACAUAUAUAUGGGUAUGUUAUAAUUAAAUGAAAUCCAGAAAAAACAAAAUGAUGUACUCAAAGAUGUCUUAAAUAAAUAUGGAUAUGCAGAACAGCAUGAUAGUUUUUUUUUUUUUUUUUUUUGUAUAUACCAAUUCAACUAAUGGUUUUAUAUAAGAACAGAACUGACAUUUAAAAGGAAACGUUAAAAUAUAUAUAUCCAUAUAUGAAAGAAGAAGCUUUAUUUUUAAUUUAUUUUUUAUAUAUACCAAUGUCUAAAUGGUUUAUAGAAGAAAUGAACUGAGAUUAAAGUAAAGAAAGCUCAAAAAAAAAAAAAAAAAGGUAUUAUAUAAUAGACGAAGUGUAUUAUGAUGUAUAGAAGAACACAUUAUAAAAACUAUAAUAAGGCAAAUUCAGAACAAAAAAUGCCUCAGAAUUAAGGAAGCCAUAUAAUUCAGAUAGGAUAAUCUGAGAAUUGACAAAACAGAAAAAGGAAAUAAUUAUAUAUAUAUAAUGUGAUAGAGAAAGAAUAACUGUGUAUAAAAGGUUAUUUGCAAUAAGACUUUUUUAAGAUAUGUUAUUAGAUACAUAUAAUAUUGUUAUGCACAGAACAGCAUAUAUGGAAUGUGUAUCGAAAUAUAAAAAGUUCAUAAAGAAAAUUGUAUUGUUAAAUAGAAUCACACAAUAUAUGAUAUUGAAGAAAAACAGAAUGUUAUAAGGAAAAUACACAUAAGCAAUAUAAAUGAAUUGAAGAAAAACAACACAUUUUUGGAAAUUGAGAGAAGAGUAUAUAUUUAGAAAAUUUAUUAUAUUCUAAACCCCAAGAAUAUUAUUGGAAAUUCUAAAUAUAUAUAUAUAUAUAUAUAUUUAUAUAAGCCUUUAUAUAGAUAUGAAAUUUUUUUAUACUAUAUACAAAUCCCCUCAUUGUGUAUAAUAUAAAGAACGUUUUUUAUUUAUAUUGGUAUACAAGAUUCUAUGGAAGAUUAAAUGUUAUGAAGAAAAAUAGUAUAUAUAUUUAAGAAAUAUUGCCCUUAAAAGUUUUAACUUAAUAUUGUUUUGCCAAAACUUUUAAUUUAUUUUUAUAUUUCUUAAAAAAUAUAGUUUUAAUCGUGUGUCUUAAAAGUAUAUAUUGUUAAUCAUGUUUUUUGAAGGAAUAUAGAUUUCUUUUAAUGUCCCUGAAAAGAUUUAAUACGAUCAGUAUUUUUUUGAGGAUAUAGUUUAUUUUGUUGAUGUACUUUUGAAUAUAUAUAGUUUUUUUAAUAUUUUGGAAAGAUUUAAUAUAUAAUCCUUUCACAAUUUUAUAAAGGCACUACAUUAUUUUGUGUUUCUUAGAUUAUAUAAUUUUUUUAAUGUUUUCAUGUUUUUUCAUAAUAAUUUAUGCAUAUAUUUUUUUAGUUUCUACUGUUCACUAAUUCAUUCGUUGAACUUGUUUAUAGUAAAUGUUUUUAUAUAUACAAUAAAAAAAAAAAAAAAAAGUAAAAAAUAAAAAGUAAAAAAUUAAAAAUAAAAAGUAAAAAAUAAAAAGUAAAAAAUUAAAAAUAAAUUAUUCAUAUACAUUAUACUUCUUUUUUGUAUACAUAAUAUUUUAUUAUUAUACAUAAUAUUCUAUUCUUAUACAUAGUCUUUUUUUCUUAUACAUAGAUUUUUUGUUUAUACAUAGUCUUUUUUUCUUAUACAUAGACUUUUAUUGUUAUACAUAGAU
rnacentral:sRNA from 1 species